UAAACAAAAAAACCCCCACUUAAACGGCACAGGUUUAAUCUGCGUUUAUAUCAUAAGAACUAUAUGAGGGUAGAUGGAGUUUUCAGGCCAUUCGUUACCCAGUUCUAUGAAUCUCUCUGAGACAAGGAUUACGUGGUGUUAACAGAGAGCAACAAAAAGCAUUCAGACAUUUUAUGGGAAAGAACUUCACGGUGACCAGACCCAGCAUUCUUAGAGAAAACGUUACCAGAAAAGGGACAGAAAUCAUUCAUGAAGAUGGGAGGCAGAGAGGGGAUUAAAACAGAAGAUGUGAAAUAGAUGUUAUGGAAAGCUAACAAAGCUAAAAAUAGUAAAGUAUUUAACCAAAUUGCCUGGAAGGGCUGUACAAUCCCUACCAGCAGACCAAGAGGCUCUCAGGACCAGCUCAGGGAAAUCUGAUGCAGGAGAAUGGAGAACAGUCUCCUGAUGGCCUUCCUAAUCUUGUUUUACAUUUAAUUGCUUCUGUUUCUCAUCUGACCUGUAUCUUCUUGCAUUUAAGAUUUUCAUGAAGAAGUUCAGAAGGUGAGGAAAAUCAGCCAUUAGCCUAAAGCCAUUACUGCACUCAUACAGCUGCUUCCCCCAUAUAAUGGGAUUUUGGAGCCUGAGUUUAUAAAUUCAACUUUUUCUUCAGUAAGCAAACAACCUUUAAGAUGUGUUUGAGCCACAGGUCUGCAUUCAGAGCUAGACACUUACCAAAUUACAUGUCCAGGUGUUUUUCCCAGACCACUCGCUUACAAAGCCCAGUUGGCAACCAUGGAACCUGUUUUGAAACAUUGGCAAAAACCCAGGGAUAUUUUGGAGCUAGUGUUGCAAAUUCUGGGCUUUUUCUUGCUAUAAACAAUAAAUGUAUUGGAAAUACAGUGUCCAUGAAGUUAAUGUGGCCCUUAGCAGAGCUAAGCACAGCCUAAGGACAGCUGCCAAUGCUGCCCAACUUCCCUGCUAAUGCCCUGAUGGGAAAACCCUGCAUUUCUCAGACACAGAUAUUUCAGUGCAUCAAAUCCCGACAAAUCAUUACCUGCCUUCUCAGCAAAGCUACAACCAAAGGAAAGUUUCACACCCUUGAUCAGUCCUCCCUGCUUGAAGCCUGAAGGAAGAACAUCAGUUAAAUCCUUACUUAUGAAAACUGUUCUUGGUGGCAAAACUCAUUUUGCCUUUGCAGCUAUUCUUACCAAUGGCAGUUUCUACUAAGCUUGAAAGUUAAGUGGAUUCUCUUGGAAGAGGAAGGAUUCACUACUGGAAAUUUGAGACCAAGUCCCAGGAGGAACAUCAUUCUCUUACUUUGGUCUCCCCUGGACUAAUGAACGUGAGGAACGAAAGCUCCAUUUGGACUGGAAGGAUUAUGCUUCUGUAUGUCACAGUCAUGUGAAAUAAGCAACAUAAUUUGCGGAGCAACCAUGGGAAUUUAAUUAUUUCUCAGGAUACAAUUUUAAUGACUCCUCUCUACGCCAUAGAUCUUAAGCAUCUACUGGUGUCGUGUUGCAUUAGAAGCCGAAGUUGCAGCAGGCAGAAUGGCAGCACGACAAGAGAAAAAAAAUAAACCUCUGAAUGGUUUUCCCAAGAACAAACAUGCGGUAGCACAGUGUUUUGCUUUGGAAGUAAAUUGCUCAUGAACCUUCUGGCUUGAAGCUACCGGUAAAUAUCCCUGUUUGCAAUGAUGGCCAGUUAUAUACAGCACAAAAUCUCACUGCUCUAUUAAAGGUCUUACUGAAAAGUU